rnacentral:lncRNA from 1 species
AAUGAGAAAAUAUUUUAUGAAUGCAAAAUUGGGACAUAGAGUCUGACCAAGGUUUCCUAUGGGAGUUUCAGACAUGGUAAUUAGAAACCAGGAAGACUGAGAAGGAAUCAAAUUUGCAGCAGCUCAGUAAGUGGUAGACUGGGAACAAGAAGCCAGUUCUCUGGGCUCUUGAAGCAAGGCCCUGCCACGUUGUCUUUCCCCAGGAGAGGAGGUCAUAAGACAUUCAUUCCAGAGAGAGUCCUGCCCCACCUCUGAGAAGGAAGGAAUGUACACUCAAGAGAGAUCAAGAAGAAUCUAAACAAACAGGCCCUUCUGCGUUUUCCCACAAGAGAAAAUGAUCUAAUUAACAUUCGAUCAUAACUUUUUGUCCAAUUAUAUUUCUACACUGCUGUUCAUACUUUAUUUAACCUAGGCAUAAAAAUUGACAAUUUUUAUUGUAUUUUUGGCUCUUCAUUCUGAAGGCUUCCAUGUAUACAUGUUAAAUAAAUUUGUACACCUUUUCUCCAA